AAAUCCACAGCAGCAGCGUGACAGAAGAUAUAUUAAAUCAGUCAGGGAACCCAUGAAGAGAGAAACUCUGUCUUUCAGCAGUAACAACAGAAAUUCAAAAGAUGAUGUUCUCUGCCUGUUAUUAUAAAAAUACUUCGUUUUGAGCUGGCCAUGACUGUGUUGUAUGAACAGUAUCACUCCUGAAUUGCUGCUGCAAUAUUUUGUGUUUAACCAGCUCCUAACCAAUGUUCACUCCUGCUUUGUCCAUCCCUGGUGAAGCUGCAUUCUCACCCUCUGAAAAUCAACACCAUUUUACCUGGCUGAUAAAAACGACCAAGUUCAAUAAAAGGUGAUAAUAAAAGGAUGAUUGUGUGGUAGUUAUCACUCUGUAGGUAUAACUGGUAACAGCAGGGAUUCCUGACAUAUCAGCCUUUCUUCAACAACUGCCAAUGCCACUUCUUUCUUAUGCUUUUGCUAGCAGAACUGAAUUGAUGGGCUAAGAAUGUACACACUUCAGCUGGCUUUAAUGAGUGCCAGAGA